rnacentral:lncRNA from 1 species
CGACUGUCUUUCUAGCAUCUGAUGUUGAAAUCUGAGUUUGUGAAAUUAUGUUCUGUGAAGAAGAAACACUUAGCAGUAAACUUGGCCUUACCUUGGGUUUUGCUUGUGUGGCAGUGGGACUCAUGAGGAAUUCUGGAUUGCUGCUAUGUCAUGCACAAUUAGUGGAGAACUAAGGUGUGGAAUAUCGUCUUUCUCAUGCCCUACAAAAAACUCAAUGAAGAAAGCAUUUGAUUCACUGGAAUAAAACUAAGAACUUGGAUUUUGAAUAUGGAAAACAAAUUGCUGAUCAUGUUCUUAAUUGAGUGUGUGACGGUCAUGUACCUGAAAACCUAUCAACUCAACAGAGAAGAAAAACAAUGUCUGAUGCUCUCAUCUUCCUUUGAAACCCAUUGCUUUGAAACCUAAUGUUUUUUGCUCAGAUCAGUGCACUCUAAUUAGCUUCUGGAAAUCCUUGAAUUUGUAUUUUAUUAAAAAGGAUACUCCAAUUAUAUGUAUAAAAGUUAAAUC